GAUGAACGCUGGCGGCGUGCCUAAUACAUGCAAGUCGAGUGAACAGACGAUGAUCUUGCUCCGCUGACGUUAGCGGCGGACGUGUGAGUAACGCGUGUAUAACCUACCUAUAAUACUGGUAUAACUUCGGGAAACCGGAGCUAAUACCGUAUAAUAUAUUGAACCGCAUUGUGCGAUAGUGAAAGACGGUGUUUCUGGCACUUAUCGAUGGAUCCGCGCCGCAUUAGAUAGUUGGUAAGGUAACGGCUUACCAAGGCAACGAUGCGUAGACGACGUGACAGGGUGAUAGGCGACAUGAGAACGGAGACACGGUCAAGACUCCUGCGAGAGGGAGCAGUAGGGAAUCUGACGCAAUGGGGGAAAGCAUGACGGAGCAAGGCCGCGUGAGUGAUGACGGUCUUCGGAUCGUAAAAAUCUGUUAUUAGGGAAGAACAAAUGUGUCAGUAAAUAUGCACGUCUUGACGGUACCUAAUAAGAAAGCAACGGCUAACUACGUG
rnacentral:rRNA from 1 species